AUGCCUUGUGAUAAAACUAUAUUAAUUUCAUCGUAAUUACCAUAAAAGAAUAAUCAAAAAGGGAUUACGAUAUAAU
rnacentral:ncRNA from 20 species